rnacentral:rRNA from 1 species
CCUACGGGGGGCAGCAGUGAGGAAUAUUGGUCAAUGGGCGAGAGCCUGAACCAGCCAAGUCGCGUGAGGGAGUACUGCCCUAUGGGUUGUAAACCUCUUUUGUCGGGGAGCAAAAGCUGGACGUGUCUGGCUGUGAGAGUACCCGAAGCAAAAGCAUCGGCUAACCCCGUGCGAGCAGCCGCGGUAAUACGGAGGAGGCGACAGUUAUCCGGAUUUAUUGGGUUUAAAGGGUGCGCAGGCGGAUUUUUACGUCAGCGGUCAAACCGGGGGGCUCACCCCCAUCCAGCCGUUGAAGCUGGGGAUCUAGAGUGUGCGAGAGGUAUGCGGAAUGCGUGGUGUAGCGGUGAAAUGCAUAGAUAUCACGCAGAACCCCGAUUGCGAAGGCAGCAUACCGGUGCACAACUGACGCUCAGGCACGAAAGCGUGGGUAUCGAACAGGAUUAGAUACCCCUGUAGUC